GCAAACUGGGGUGUGGUCUGUUUCUGUACUUUAGGUGCAGCCAAACUGUUUUUGACAAGUAGAGAAGCAAACAAUCGGAUCCAGCAGGGUUGGAAAAGCACAAGUACAGGAUCAAAAUGGAUUCAGAUAAGCCAUCAGCUUUGAGUACAAAUGAGACGGAGGAUACACAGAAGAAGAAAGAUAAUGAGAAGGGGCACGGCAAGCACAAGCCAGAAGGCAAAGAAAAGUCCAAGGAUGGACAUGGACAUGGACAUGGACAUGGACCUGGACAUGGACAGGGCCACGGUCGCGGUCAGGGCCAUGGCCAUAAUAAGUGAAGAAGAUAAGAAGACUUUGAACGAAUAGGAAGGGGAAAUAAGAGGAUCCUCUUCCUCCUCUGAUGAGAACUGAUGGAUCCAGCUGCCCUGUUUUUCACUCUAAUCUUGUCUAUCGAUUUAAAAGAAUGUAUAAUCAGCUAAUUUUCUUCAUUUCUACUAACUGGUGCCAUGGAAACAAGGCUGAGACUUUGUACCCAAACCUGAUUUUUGGAACUAAGUGUGACAAUAAAAAUAUCUAAAUGGG